rnacentral:rRNA from 1 species
GACGAACGCUGGCGGCGUGCUUAACACAUGCAAGUCGAACGGAAAGGCCCUGCUUUUGUGGGGUGCUCGAGUGGCGAACGGGUGAGUAACACGUGAGUAACCUGCCCUUGACUUUGGGAUAACUCCAGGAAACUGGGGCUAAUACCGGAUAGGAGCUCCUGCUGCAUGGGGGGGGUUGGAAAGAUUCGGCGGUUGGGGAUGGACUCGCGGCUUAUCAGCUUGUUGGGGGGGUAGGGGCUUACCAAGGCUUUGACGGGUAGCCGGCCUGAGAGGGUGACCGGCCACCAUGGGCCUGCGGUACGGCGCAGAAUCCAACGGGACGCAGCGGUCGGGAAUCUUGCGCAAUGGCCGGAAGCCUGAUGCAGCAACGCCGCGUGCGGGAUGCCGGCUUUCUGGUUGUAAACCGCUUUCGCCUGUGACGAAGCGGGAGUGACGGUAAUGGGUAAAGAAGCACCGGCUAACUACGUG